UGAUGUUUUAACUUGUCACUUGUAGGGACACAGCACAAUGGACUACCAACAGCAGGUAGAAGACGUUACAGCCAACGCCCACUAUGGGGAUUUGAUCGAGUUCUCUUACCCCGUUGGAUUUUCACACUGGGGUGUCUACUGUGGAGAUGGAGAUGUCAUCCAUUUUUCUGUUGCAGAUGAAGGAUCAUUUAUGCAGAAUGUGCGGGGGUUCCUGCAGAAAGUGCUUCCUGUGUGUGGAGACCUUCUUCUGGGAGACACGCAGGUACGAAAGCAGCCCUUACCUGAAGUUAAUGUACCUGAGGGAGCGCAUGUCCUCAUCAGUAACAAUCGCCAUGCCCACAAGCCAUCAGAGGAAAGUGACAUCAGACAGCGUUUAGAUGCGCUUCUGGGAAAAGAGCUACCUUACGACCUGUUCAAACUCAACUGUGAACACUUUGCCACAUUUGCUCGCUAUGGGGUGGCAGUGUGCAAUCAGAUUCCUGGCAGGAACAAGAACGAGGAAUUAAAAGAGGCAACAAACACUUUUCAAAAACUUGUGUCUGAGCCCAGGCCUGGACUGGAGAGAACAAAACGGCCCGGGGAUUUUUUUGCUCAGACCGCCCCCACAUACCCGUAAUUAGCGGAGCACCGCCAUUAAAUUGACGUAACUAAUGUCUUCUGACGGGAAAAAACCCUAUCUGUCAGGUACCAGAAAAACCCACCAUACUUGUAGUGACUUCACGUUCAAUUGUUUAUUUAAACUUAAUAUCCAAAUUCAUGUUUAUAGGUAGUCAGGAUUUCUUUACAAUUGAAUCACAACCCCACCAGCCCAACCACAGAGGUGUGCAAAAGCGCCCUCUUGAAAUAUUUAUUGGUAGUAACAAUAAUGUGCUUAGUGGCUACUCACUGGCUACCCUACAGAAUCACCAACAGCACCAUUCCACCACAAAUACAGCAAUUAGCACAUGCCAGUGAAUAUUUUGGCCUUAAAAAUGAGCAGAAUUUACAGGAGGAAUAAAAUGAAGUCUCAGGAAUUAACCAUAAACUUUAACAUGAAUCUCCAUGUAGCCUAUCAAAACAAAUCUAUAUAUUUAUCACAUAGAUAGACUAUAGAGCAUAGGCAUAUACUUACAAAUAUCCAUUGGUACACAUUCAACUUGGAGAAGGAAAACCAAAUGAAUGAAAUACAGUGCAUUUUCUCUGAGACUUUUUCUUCCUCAGGAUAUAAAAGCACACCUCUGCUUCUAUGUGUUAUUGUUGUCGUAAUGUACAUGGCAAUAUGACUAUCAUGCAUUGGAAAGGGGAGAAUGUAAGCUUUCGAAAGGUAGACUACCCCACAUGUCCCAGUUCACAACCAUGAUGUCUAUACAAACAUGCAUCAAAGAGUGUGUGGGGAAAAAACGAUGUUUGGUUGAACCGCUUUUUGCGGGGCUAGAGUCUCUAUUAUAUCUGAGGGGGCACCUGGGCUGGCAUAUCAUAUUUCUGCCACUCCUUAGAACCGCCCUGGCCGAGGGCCGUCAAAAUGACAUCGUGGGCCGCCGGUCUCUUUUGUAAAAAAAAAAAUAUUUUUUUUAUUUAUUUAUUUUUUUUAAAGAGGGGCAUCGGCCCUCGAGGGCCGUCGGCCCACCGGGAAAAUGCCCGGUAUGCCAUACUGUCAGCCCAGCCCUGUCUGAGUCGUGAUAAGCCUACUGGAUAUAUUUUACACUAGGCCUACUGAUUUUUUUUAGACCCAGAGCUUGUAAAGGCAACAUGUAGGCCGAGGCCUCAUUGUAAGAUCCUUUAUCUGUAAUUUUUUAGACUUGCAUGAAAAGGCAAUAUGUAAUUAAAACGCACUGUAAUAAGUUCCUUUAUCUGUAAUGCCAGUUUCUACAAUUGUCAUUGUGUCUGAUAAUAAAUAUUUCAAUGUAAAA